rnacentral:rRNA from 1 species
GACGAACGCUGGCGGCGUGCUUAACACAUGCAAGUCGAACGGUAAGGCCCUUCGGGGUACACGAGUGGCGAACGGGUGAGUAACACGUGGGUGAUCUGCCCUGCACUUCGGGAUAAGCCUGGGAAACUGGGUCUAAUACCGGAUAGGACUCCUGCCUGCAUGGGUGGGGGUGGAAAGCUUUUGCGGUGUGGGAUGGGCCCGCGGCCUAUCAGCUUGUUGGUGGGGUGAUGGCCUACCAAGGCGACGACGGGUAGCCGGCCUGAGAGGGUGACCGGCCACACUGGGACUGAGAUGCGGCCCAGACUCCUACGGGAGGCAGCAGUGGGGAAUAUUGCACAAUGGGCGCAAGCCUGAUGCAGCGACGCCGCGUGAGGGAUGACGGCCUUCGGGUUGUAAACCUCUUUCAGCACAGACGAAGCGCAAGUGACGGUAUGUGCAGAAGAAGGACCGGCCAACUACGUGCCAGCCGCCGCCGUAACAC